rnacentral:rRNA from 1 species
AUUGAACGCUGGCGGCAGGCCUAACACAUGCAAGUCGAGCGGAUGAAGGGAGCUUGCUCCUGGAUUCAGCGGCGGACGGGUGAGUAAUGCCUAGGAAUCUGCCUGGUAGUGGGGGAUAACGUCCGGAAACGGGCGCUAAUACCGCAUACGUCCUGAGGGAGAAAGUGGGGGAUCUUCGGACCUCACGCUAUCAGAUGAGCCUAGGUCGGAUUAGCUAGUUGGUGGGGUAAAGGCCUACCAAGGCGACGAUCCGUAACUGGUCUGAGAGGAUGAUCAGUCACACUGGAACUGAGACACGGUCCGGACUCCUACGGGAGGCAGCAGUGGGGAAUAUUGGACAAUGGGCGAAAGCCUGAUCCAGCCAUGCCGCGUGGGUGAAGAAGGUCUUCGGAUUGUAAAGCACUUUAAGUUGGGAGGAAGGGCAGUAAGUUAAUACCUUGCUGUUUUGACGUUACCAACAGAAUAAGCACCGGCUAACUUCGU